rnacentral:rRNA from 1 species
UGGGGAAUAUUGGACAAUGGGCGAAAGCCUGAUCCAGCCAUGCCGCGUGUGUGAAGAAGGUCUUCGGAUUGUAAAGCACUUUAAGUUGGGAGGAAGGGCAUAAACCUAAUACGUUAGUGUUUUGACGUUACCGACAGAAUAAGCACCGGCUAACUCUGUGCCAGCAGCCGCGGUAAUACAGAGGGUGCAAGCGUUAAUCGGAAUUACUGGGCGUAAAGCGCGCGUAGGUGGUUUGUUAAGUUGGAUGUGAAAUCCCCGGGCUCAACCUGGGAACUGCAUUCAAAACUGACUGACUAGAGUAUGGUAGAGGGUGGUGGAAUUUCCUGUGUAGCGGUGAAAUGCGUAGAUAUAGGAAGGAACACCAGUGGCGAAGGCGACCACCUGGACUAAUACUGACACUGAGGUGCGAAAGCGUGGGGAGCAAACA